rnacentral:lncRNA from 1 species
UGAAUCUAUAAUAUAGAAAUAACACGAAUUAAAAUUGAUAAUAAAGUGAUUUAAAAUUUCAAAAAUCACCCCAUAUUUAUAGACAAAAAAUCCGCAUUAUUUUUCAAAUUUGAAUUUCAAAAACGCCUUGUAAAAAAUGCAGCUAUAUCUGCCUUAAGCUAUAAAGCUGUCUAAAAAGACAGCUUUAUAGCUGCCAGACAGCAAGUUACUGCUGCCUCAUUUUUUUUUAAAAUUUUCUACUUUUUUUUUCCCAUUAAUUUAGCUCGGGCCGAGCCUUAUUGUCAUAUGCCAAAAAUGGCCCGUGUGGCUCGUCCGGCUCGACGAGCCACAUGGGCUUGCUCGGGCUAGGGCCAACCUCUUAUUUUGAGGCUCGGUUGCUACGAGCCACCGAGCCUUUUUGACACCCCUAUUUGGAAAUAUAAAUAUUGCUUCAUCCUCAUCCAUUCCAGAACUAGCAAAUGGAUCCUCAACAUUCAAAUGAAAUAAUAUCAAGUCCGGGAUUCAAAAAAAAAAUACACAUGAAUAUGGGAAAUUGAUUACUCAGCAGUAGCAAUAUUAAGUCAUAACUUCUACUCUACCUAGGGUGUCAAAAAAGUUCGGUGGCUCAGGUGGCUAGUGGCUCGGCUCGGGAAAAGCCCGAGCCCGCCUGGCUCGUGGCUCGUAGCAACCGAGCCUCAAAAUAAGAGGUUGGCCCGAGCCCGAGCCCGAGCCCGAGCCCGAGCAAGCCCGUGUGGCUCGGGUCGGCUCGUGUCACUGGCCAUUUUUGGCCCGUGACAAUAAGGCUCGGCCUGAGCUAAAUUAAAGGGAAAAAAAAGAAAAGCAAAAAAUUUAAAAAAAAAUGAGGCAGCAAGUAUAGCUUGGCAGCUAUAAGGCAACAAGUCGAGCAGCUAUAAAGCUGUAUUUUUAGACAGCUUUAUAGUUGCCGGCUGGGGCUGGGGGCAGCUUUAGCUGUAUUUUUUACGAAGCGUUUUUAAAGUUCAAAUUUGAAAAAUAACGUGGAUUUUUUGUCUAUAAAUAUGGGGUGAUUUUUUAAAUUUUAAAUCACUUUGUUAUCAAUUUUAAUUCGCAUUAUUUCUAUACUAUAGAUUCAGAUUCAAUUAUUCAAGUUUCAAUUUCUUCUUUUUCACUUCUCAUAUAACAAUUAAUAUAUUCAAUUUCUUUCACUCUACAGUCUAAUAUUCAAUAUUUUUUAUUAUACUAGUUAUUAUGAAUUUUACAAGUGAUGAAGUUAAUCAGUUUAGCGGUAGCUCGAGUACUCCAUCUAACUACGAUGCAUGUCAAAAUGUUCCAAUUAAUUUGGAGGAUAUUGAAGAGGAAGAAGUUCAAGUACUCGAGACAAAAAGAUCAAAAAAAGAAUCAUCGAAUUGUUGACAACAUAUGAUAAGUAAAAAAAUUGGUGUUCAAAAUGGAGUAGAUAUUUGGAAAACAUGUCGGAAUUACUGUGGCAAAUAACUUAGUUGGAAGCCCAGUUCGAGCACAACGCAUUUGAAUAGACACGUAUUAAGGAGUUGCAAAACGAAACCAACCAAUCUCGACUCGAAACAGAUCGAACUAAUGUUUGGCGGCUCUGAUUCUAUUCUUUUCACCUUUGUAUAUUCACAGGAAAGAUUUCGUGAAGGAAUGACUGCAUACGUGGCUGCAGCAGAGAUGCCGCUUACGAUGAUAAACUCAAUACACUUUACCCGACUCAUGCAGAAAUAUCUCCAACCCAGGCAUUUUUCUUAUUCUAGAAAUACUCUUCAUUCAGAUAGCAUAAAAUUAUAUAACAGAAGAAAACAAGUUACUAUUGAAGGUCUAAAAAGUUUUAAUAGUGUUA